ensembl:lncRNA
CACCCGCCAAUCUAAUGAUACCGCCAUCCACACUGCAAGUUGCUAGGCAACAGAGUUGUGUAAGACCUAGAACUGCUUUGUGAGAGCGUCCAGACUAAGAAUCGUGUUUUUAACACCCACACAGAAGACAUUCUCAGAUCAAAGAACCAUCUGUAUUCAUUUUUCAACCAGUAACACAACCACAGUGCAACACAAAUACGAACCAUGCCCAUUUCGUGACGAUGGAUGGCUCUUCACUUCAUAGACUGAUCCACGUUGUUGCUGAAUAAUGAUUGAUAAAGAAAAACAGCCUCAGCAGAACUGGUGAACUAUUGGUUUUCAUUUCUUAAAGCACUCAAAUUUAAACUAAGGAUAAUAAUGCCCACUCUGUCUGUUUCAUGACACUGCAUUCAGACUUGUCUUGUGUAUUAAUCAACGCCAUUCACAGCUUAUUAAACAGCUGAAGAGACUUUGUCAUUGCAUUACCACUAGCUGCCAGGUUGAGCCUUGUUUCCAGGGAAACAGAAAACCAGAAGCUUUCUAUACUCAGAGACAACGCUGAAAUCCAAAGACCUCCAUCUACAGUGGAGGCUUCUAGAAAACAAACCUGCCUUUCUCAGCACCCAAAGGAGAUGUAGGAGCUUCAGAAAAGAGAGCUGAAUAUGCCUUGGAUCUGAUACAUGUUUUUCUUGAGUGGGAUGUAAACAUGAAUAGAGUUACAAGUCAGUGCUAGGAUUGCAGAAAAUGUAUACAACUCUGGGACUAUGUGAAAACUCCCAUGAACAGAAACUCACCCUGAGUGUUUUGAAAUCAGCUCAAAAAUUAACUCUGGUAUAAGUUAUUCCUGUGUGGCCCUUGUGAAGGACACCAUGAUGGAUAACAAACUGCCCGAAGCCUGCAAACAUACAAAAACGGUGGCCCAUGAAGAGAUCCAUACUGACUCUCAGACCACUGGAACCAAAGCUGGUCAGAUUCACUCGACAGUACUGAGUUGCUCAACAGUGGUGGUGGAUUUAAGCCCUGGAUCAAGUGAAGGACCCACACGUAGAGAACGCUUUAAAUCAGACUUGCAACAAGCCAGCCAAGAAAUCACAAUACUGGUUACAAAUCAUGAGUCGCCAGAGACAGAAAUGGAGGAAGCUGAGUGGAGUGGAGAAAGUGACACCAAUCCUGAGUGUAUGAGGCCAAGUGAGGAGGACAGUUUUGAUGUAUCCAAGGUGGUGGCAGACUUGAUAGAGCUCAGCCAAAUGCAACAGACCUGUUUGAUUAGUAAUAGUUCAGCUGAGCAAAGCACCAGUUCAGGUGGGAAGAACUUACCCAAGACUGAGGAGUGCAAAGAAACCCACAAAGAAGAAACACAACCUGAAAGUCAACAGGAAACUGCAAACUCUGGAGCCAGCAAAUCCCAAUCUGCAGAGGGAGUCAUGUCAUCAGAUUCAAAGGAUUCUAUGAGGUCAGAAAAGACAGUGAGCAAUGUGGCACUAAAGCAAGUAAAAUCCUUGGAGACUAGAAACUCAGAGGAGGGCAUAUUACCCAGGCAACAACAGCACAUACAGACACAGGUCAGUCUGGAGGUUGUAUACCACUCAGCAGCCACCAGCCCCAUGACCCCUCCCGAAGGUUCCACUGCUUUCUUCUUCCCCUUCUGUCUUAACAAGCUGGGCAAAAGUGAAGGGAGUGAAUCAGUUCCACUGGUAACAAAGGAUGCUGAGCUCCAGGUUGGCAUGCAAGUGGAGUACCGAUCAGUCGCCACAGCUCCCAUGACACCCAUAUCAACAAAUGCACCCGAAUUGCCAGUAGAGACUCGCUCAGUUGCCACAGCUCCCAUGACACCUGUGGUAACAAAUGCACCAAAGCUACUGGUAGAAACUCGUUCAAUUGCCACUGCUCCCAUGACACCCAUUACUACAAUCGCACCUGAACUACAGGUAGAGACUCGCUCAGUUGCCACAGCUCCCAUGACACCCAUUACUACAAUCGCACCUGAACUACAGGUAGAGACUCGCUCAGUUGCCACAGCUCCCAUGACACCCAUUACAACACAUGCACCUGAACUACAGAUAGAGACUCGCUCAGUUGCCACAGCUCCCAUGACACCUAUGGCAACAACUGCACCUGAACUACUAGUAGAGACUCGAUCAGUUGCUACAGCUCCCAUGACACCCAUUGCAACAGUCGCACCUGAGCUACAACUAGGGACUCGCUCAUUUGCCACAGAUCCCAUGACACCAAUAGUGACAACUGCACCUGAGCUACAACUAGGGACUCGCGCAUUUGCCACAGAUCCCAUGACACCAAUAGUGACAACUGCACCUGAGCUACAACUAGGGACUCGCGCAUUUGCCAC